rnacentral:tRNA from 1 species
GCCGAGUUCGCAUAGCCUGGUAUUGCGGUGGAUUCGAAAUCCACUGGGACCUUCCCGCGAGAGUUCGAAUCUCUCACUCGGCG